rnacentral:rRNA from 1 species
UACGUAGGGUGCGAGCGUUGUCCGGAAUUACUGGGCGUAAAGCGCACGUAGGCGGCGAUUCAAGUCAGAGGUGAAAGCCCGGGGCUCAACCCCGGAACUGCCUUUGAAACUAGAUUGCUAGAAUCCUGGAGAGGUUAGUGGAAUUCCGAGUGUAGAGGUGAAAUUCGUAGAUAUUCGGAAGAACACCAGUGGCGAAGGCGACUCACUGGCCCGAUACUGACGCUGAGGAGCGAAAGCGUGGGGAGCGAACAGG